CCCAGUUGUUGUAACAAGUUUGGAACAAGCUGUUCACAACUUGUAACAAGCUUGAUAGCAUUAUCAGACUUGUUACAAGGUUGUUCUACAGUCAUGAUAAACAAGAAUGUUACAAGGUUGACGACACAAGGUUGUAACAAUACUGCUAUAUCAUGACUGUAUCGGACUUGUUGGAACAACCUUAUAACAAGCUUGAUAAUAUCAACAAGGUUGUUACAAAUUGUUAACAGGUUGUUCCAAACUUGUUGACAACUUGUGAC